GAGACUCUUCCCUGAGUAAUUCAAUCAGAGGACAUUCAGCUGCGUAUAACCCAGCUCUGUGGUGUGCUGUAUGAGUCAAUGCUGCUUCUGAAUGUCUCAAAGAUGCAUGCAUAUCUUCUUGCCAUUCCCAGGACACGAGUACCGUGGAGAGGCUUAGUAAUUCAAUUUUUUUCCAGAAAUCUCUUCUAAAUAGUCUGUCCACCUCAAGCAUGCUGCUCCACACUGCACUUAUGCAGUCCUGGGAGAGCAGCAGAGCAAGUGACAUCAUUGCCAAGCUCAUCAGUGCUGCCAGCUUGUGCCAAGAACCAUUUCUGAGCUAGCAUGGCCCUGGAGAUGACAAGGGGAGAAACACAGCAAACUGGAGAGAGGCUUCCCUGGUGAGAGGAGAGCUGUGGUAGCCCUGGGGCUGUCAAGCAUGGCUCUGGCUCCAGACGAUAGGCAUUAUAUAUCAAUUUAGUUCUGGUGAAGGCUGCUCAAUUGACAGCCCUGGAAACCAGUGCUGUGUGCUUAUAAGCAGUCUGGGCAGAGGGCUGCAACAUGGAUGGCAGAAGCACAAACUUGCAGAAAUUGCUUGUCCAUCUCAAAACAGACUUCAAGCAUCUGGCUCCAUGGAGCACAGCCGAACUGCCCAGGCAGACAUGGUCUUCUGAGGUCUGAAAGCAACAGUGCCAAAGAACUGCUGAAGGAUUUCUACAAGAAGUCGCAUGGAAAUACUGCUGAGAAAUUGGUCCUUCCGAGGAUCAGAGGAGAUGAAGCAAAACUAACUGUACAAUUUUUCACAAGCUUUCCAAAUGCAUUUUUUGCAGACUAGUGAUGACUUUCAGCUCUUUCCACCCACCAGUAAUUCCGGUUUUAUAGAACAGUGGAGGGAAGGCUAAGGAGAAGCAAAGUUCAUUUCCCACUUGCAUCAUUAGUGAAAAAACAUUCCUGGAGCUUUUAAUAGCAGCUGUCAGCAUUAAAGCUCAUGGUGUACAACUCAGAGGUAGAUUCAUCUCUCCUGAACAAAUUUAAUUAACAAAGCUGCACUACAGCAACACACAAGUAGGAGUGAGCAGUUAACAGCUCCCAGUCUAAAGUAUGAAGCUUCCUGAAGAAAUACUGCUGAUUAAAGCAGUGCAGUGAAAAGUUCUUCACAUAUCUAAAUUUCUAUCACUGUCCCAAAGGUGGAGCAACAUACACCAGUGUCACCACCAGAGGACAGGGUAGUAUUAACCAACAUGAACCAUGAAUGAGCUGCUUCUUAUGACCAGUUGGAGCCUUGCAGGUAACAGCAGACAGAAGGGAUUGCGGGAAAGGGCAUGUGAGAGAAGCAAGUCAUCAAUAGCAAUAAAACUGAGUAUACCACUUCAAAAAUUGUGUGUGGAUAUACACAUAUGACAAUACAUAUUUUAAAUGCAUCGUUGCAUUUGUUGGUGUUCAAAGAGCGUUUGGAUGUUGUGUUGAGGGACAUGGUUUAGCGAGAACCAUUGGUGAAGGACGAAUGGUUGGACUGGAUGAUCCUGUGGGUCUUUUCCAACCUUGGUGAUUCUAUGAUUCUAUGAUUGCAGCCAAAUUUUCUGUGCUUCUCAGGUCCGCUUGCUAUGCUCUUCAUAGAGCAAUGAAAUCACAGCAUUGUAAAUCAGGCUGCUGUCACUAGGUUUUAAAAUUAGAACAGUGCCUCCCACUCUCCAUUUUUUUACACCUGCCCAUAUGCUUUUAUACACAACAAUAUUCAAUUGUUUCAUCCUUCCCCCAAUCCAUCAGUGAUGUUCAGAGUUGUAUAAAAAAAAAAUUGUCUCGCUGCAAUAGGCCACCUAAUAAAAUGGAAGGAAAGAUCAGUCCAAGGCAAAUUAGAUGACCCAUAGAGCUAAAUAUACAAUUUCAUUUUGAUAUUAUCUCACAUUUAAUAACAAUAAAUGGGAGCAAAUCUUCAAAACAGGAUUGUUUCAAAUUGGAAGUAUUUUCUUUGAAGGAUUUCAAAAUAAAUAUUUUCAAGCACUAUUUUCUUCCAAAACAAUCACUGCAUUCUAGCCAAAUAAAUAAACACUUUGAGAAGUUU
ensembl:lncRNA